UUUCUGUAAACAAACCGGAAUGGAAACUCGCCGUUCACGUUCCGGUUUUCGCGAUUUUUUAGGUUUUCGCGACGGUUUCUCGCGGUGAAAAUUCGUUGCGCGUGCGUGUUUAUCCCCAUAGAAGAGGGAAAAAGUGUUUUGUGCGAAGUAGAAACGCCCAAACAAGGCAAAAAUUUGUAAAAAGUACCCGCUGAAGAGGGGUGAAAUCUGAGUCAAUGGCACCGAACAAGGCGAAGUGAUAUGUUUUCGGUUAUUUGCUUCUGUUUCCAAGUGCCAGUGCGUGGGUGUUUUUCCAAAAGGCGCGGAAUUCUCUUCCGGCAAUAAUUAAACUUUACACCGUCACGACUGAUUUUGGAACAGAAAACAAAACUUCAGCGGAACGAUUUAUUACUCCGCCACUAGUGCAAAGCACGCAAAAUUUUAACGAAGGUAAUGAAGAACCUUCUAACAGCAGUGUAAGUCUCCCUUUUUACUAUUCACUAGAAGAAGGUAGAGCAACGCAUAAAUGGACCGACAGUCCAAAUGUAAUCCGGCGGUCGCCUUUUAAAUGUUCCCAAAUGAACAAUCCGUUUAAAGGCAGGCCGCCGGUACAAAAUUGUACCAGUUUAUGCUGGUUUGAGAAGAUUUGCUGGCCAGACACCAAGAUUUUUCGCGGUAGGAUCAACCAGCUCGUAGGACGAAGACCCCUUUUUGGCGAGAACUUUCGCCGAUCACCCUCCCCGGAAAUCUUGGAGUAGUCAUCCCCUGAUGCCAUUUCGCAACCAUGGACGACGAAAUGAGGACUAAACCCGGUAGAAGAAUGAACCGUAGUAUUUAGGAUGCGCUCCACAUCAUACAUGCGGGCAUCCCAGUUGCGCUGGUCCGUGCGGGCGUACGCGCGAAUUGCCGUAUUUAUAGAACGAUUCGUUCGUUCUACCGGGAAUCGGCUGAAUUCUCUGGAGAUGAACGUCGACCAUUAUCGCUCAACAGGAUUUCCGGACUUCCAUGGCGGUUGAACCAUUGUUCGCGAAGGGUCGCACAAAGUGAGGCGCUGCAAAUUUUACGAACGGGGGUCAACAUUACGUACUUGCUGAAGACGUCGAGGACGACUAGCAAGUGUUGAUUGCCCAGUUUGAUUCGAGGAAGUGGGCCUAUGUAGUCCACCGAAAUCAUCUGCCACGGUGCACCGGUUGUGCGUGACUGACCCAUUUCUGGUUGGACUGAGGUAAAUGGUGCUUUUAUCUGUUUGCAGGUCCCACAUUGGCGAACAUAUUCGCGAACUGCUGGCUCCCAUUCGAGGCCAGAAAUAGCGUUUUUGAACCUCGUGAAUCGUUUUAUCGUAUCCCACAUGAAGCAAUUCAUCGUGGGUACGUUGCACGAUUUCUUCUCGACACUCGGGAGUUGGGACCAAUUUCCAACUAAACCGAGAGUCGAAUGGUACACUUCUCGAGGCCACGUAUUUGAAAAGUUUACCAUCUUCGACUUUAAAAUCAGGAUAAUCAUCAGGAUUAGCUGAAACUUUAGACUUCAUCGAGCAAUACCAGUCUGAAGUGGACAAUGCCGAAAUGGCUGCUACAGCCCGGGAUAAGGCAUCCGGAACGACAUUGUCCUUACCUUCCCGGUGCUCAAUGGACAUGUCGUAGAGCUAUAGUUCCAAACUCCACCGACUCAGGCGCGAACUGGUUUUCCAUUUGGUCUUCAGUAUCCAGGUAAUGGCUGAUGAAUCAGUGACAAGUCGAAAAUGAUAACCUUCCAAGUAACCUCUAAAGUGUUCAACCGCCAUAAUCACCGCCAGACCUUCCUUUUCGGUAGCGUGGUAAUUCCGUUGGGGAGUCGUUAGCUUAUGUGAAAAAUAAGCUACCACUUUUUCCCCCUCUGGAUGUUCUUGCACCAAAACAGCCGCGACAGCAGUGUCGCUGGCAUCUGUCUGCAAAAAGAAUUCCUUUGAAAAAUCUGGCGGGACAAGCACUGGAGGAGUGACUAAAAGUUCCUUUACCUUUAGGAACGCGAGUUCUGCUUCGGAGUUCCAGCCAAUAUUCUUGGCCUUUGUUUUCAAGAGGUCGGUCAAAGGUGCGGUUACCUCACCAAAGCGAUCAAUGAAACGCCGGUAGUAACGGCACAUUCCAAGGAAUCGGCGCAGUUUAGUCACCGUCACCGGCCGCUCGUAAUCGAGUAUUGGCUGAAUUUUGUCAGGGUUGACCUUUAGACCUUCCUGAUUCAACAAAUAGCCAAGAAAUUCUAACUCUGGAACCCCAAAACGGGAUUUAGCCAGGUUUAUCGUCAGAUUGGCUUUGGCUAGACAUUUGGCUACCUCUUUGAGUAACUGUAGGUGAUGCUCGAACGUUUCGCUUACCACGAUGAUAUCAUCGAGGUAAACAAAGACGUACGGUUCCAGCUUUCCUCGUCCUAACACCUGGUCCAUAAGACGUGCCAACGUGGCAGGGCUGUUAACGAGACCGAAGGGUAGACGAGUAAAUUGGAACAUACCUCUGCCGGGCACACUGAAAGCAGUAAACUUACGACUGCUUUUAGCCAAAGGAACCUGGAGAAAAGCCUCCUUUAAGUCUAUUGUAGACAGGUACUUGGCUUUAGGCAGGCUUCCUAAAAUGCGCCCGGGAUGAGGCAGAGAGUAUGCAUCACGUACUGUACGCUCAUUAAGAGGCCGGGCAUCUAGACAAAGCCGAAUAGAGUCGUCUGGUUUGGUCAAAGCGACAGUAUUCAAAGACCAAUCGGAAUCUGACUCUUCAAUAAUACCCAUAGAACGCCAACGGUCGACUUCUUCCCAGACUUUAGACAGUUUUCUUGGGCUCAUUUUAUAAGGAUAUCGGCAAACAGGCGCGGCACUUUGGAAUUCUUCCUUAAUUACGAUCCUGUGCUCUGUUAGCGAGGUCGUAGUCAAUUUUCCGGGCACUACAGCCUGAAAACAGGUCUUAACCUGUUCGAUACAGGCCAUCUGUUCCGGAGUAAGUAUAGACUCACUCGGAGCAUCAAUCUCUACUUCUUCGUCCCGUUCCGAACCUGAGUUCAACAGAGCACAAGUUUGCAACUCGGGUGUUAUUCCAAAGGCGCGCCAAAAGUCCAUACCGAGUAUUGAAGAAACUGUUAAUUGCUCCACUACAAGGGUGCAAAUAACCUUUGUCUUGGUUUGGAAAGUAUACGGAAGAUAUAUUUGUCCAAGGAUCGGCAAGGUCUGUCCAUUUGCCGAACGAAGUUCAACUGGCCUUUCCAAACCUUUUAAUGGACUUUUGGAAAACUUUCGGUACAACUUUUUGGUGAUAAUGGUGGCAUUACUACCACUGUCGAGCAAAGCCUUGAAGGAAUGGCCAUAUACUGCGACCAAAGCGAAAGGACGAUUAUCGGACGGAUCAUCGAGGAUGAUGGUUUAAACAAACAACGGAUCACGAUAAUCCUCAUCAUGAGAUGGUCGAAAACUGUUGUAAAUUUGAGGGUCUAAUUUUAGGCUUUCUAUGGGGCGCACAUCCUUACACAACUGGGACUUUAGUUGGUACGAAUCCCGUUUUUUAAGCAGUAGGGACAGCGAGAGACAUCGAAACCCUUGAAUCCACACAAAAUACAGAAGAGUCGUCUUGGAUUUCUGCACGCCUCAUGCUCGUGUCCAGUACCACCGCAGUUGUAACAGACUCCGAGACUAGGAGGUCGAUGCUGUUCCACCAGAUAGUCGAGACAAAUCACCGGCUUUUGUUAGGAUUCCGGUAUCGAAUUUCUCUCGACAAGAUUCUUUUCCGUCUGAACACCUGGCUUUUUCUUCGUGUUUUCAGACGGCGUUUUGGGAGCAAAAUUAUCCUGUUGGGAAUUUUUGCUCCAAAAUGUUUUGGUUUCAACGUGGCUGUUAUUCGAACCACCUCCCUUUCUGUUUGGUUGGUCCUUUUUCGAGGUGUUAAUUGGUGAAUUUACCGAAUAAGCAGCGACUUCCUUUUGAGAACCGAACACUUUUCGGUAAAUCGGUGUUUUGUACGCAUCAAUCGAUUUACCUAAAGUCAUCAAUUCUGCAAGCGUACUCACUGGCUUUGAACUUAAAACUUGCUUAUAGUCUGGCCUGAGGUUCCGUUUGAGCACGUCGAGUUUUUCGCUCGGUGUCAUGGGAACCGUCAUAGCACGAAAUAUUUUUUCCAUUUCCUGGAAAUAGUCCAGGAAACACUCGUUUUGCAUCUGCAGGCGCUGGGAAACCUUUGAUUUGAGAGCGGCGUCAAGUUCCGGAUGAACGAAAUUUGCCUUAAGCUCACAAACCAAAUGGUUCCAGUUGUAAAGCCUGUUCUGCGAUCUCAUAGCCCGAUACCAAGUAAGAGCAUUGUCAGUGAGUAGGAGCAUUGCAGAAUUGAACAGCUCCUCCUCUGAAAUUUGCUCGCACUGAGCAUAAUUUUCAACGGAGUCCAGAAAUUCAUUCAGUCCUAGCCCAUCAUCUGUCCCAGCGUAUUUCUCAGCAGGAUGGUAUUUCAUUACCCGUAUGAUUGGGCAAAGAAACACGUCCACCUGUCGGGCUUGACCUUCCAUUCACAUGGUGUUUUGGGGCCUGGGACUGAAUGACUGGUAAAGCUGGUUCCGUGUUCUUAAUCGGAAGUGACGGACAUCGCUCUUUCAGGAAGUCCAGGAGUAACUUUUCCACCACGGUUUGGUUUAAUGUGGGCGCCAGUGGUGGAUCAGGUACUUCCGGUUCUUCUGGCUCGUCGAUUUCGUCCGUCUCACGUCUUUCGUCCAGAUCGGUCUGCAGAUCAAUCUCGAGAACGCCAGCUGGUUGAGAAUGUACCAGCGCCCGAAGUUUACUAACGGAUUCACGAAGUGAGACAACUUCUUGAACCGUCUUUUGCAAAACUGAAGCAAUAGUGUUCAGUGAAGCAAUCCCGCCCAUUAGCGUCUGAGUAGCUUCCAAAAGGCUAUCAGACCUCUCAGCCGCUAGAGCUUUAUCUCGUUGGGAUUGCUGACGUAAAAGUCGAAUCUCGUCCCUUAACUCGCUCAAGACCGACCCAACAUCUUCUCCUACGAGCGGACCAGAUCCUACACUUUGCGGGAAAAUAGGUGCCGUUUGUGUUGGUUGCACGUUCGUGUCCAGCAAAUCACCCAAACCGGCUCCACCUUCCCCAGUAUUUUUAAUUGGAGGAAGCACUGCUGGCAUAUCAAAAUAUUCUUGAUAUGUAGCAGCAACUCCCGCCAACAGAUCCAAAAUUUCUUGAUUGACCUCCCCUGCUGUGUUUUUGUGAAUUAUCUGGAGUCUAGACCCCAGGUGGAGUAACCUUGUUCGGUAGGCCUCCUUGUUUGGGCAUCUAUAACGGAGAUCUUCCUUAAUGGAACUCAACUUCCCAAGGCAGAUCUCCAUUUCUUCAGCAGCAUCCCCAUGAAACACACGCAGCGUUCCACCGGAGAAGACCGUUCUUCGGCCAACAAUCCCCGUAAACGACGCUGCCGCUGAACCCCAGAUGGAUCCGAAUCAGCCGAGAUGACAACAUUCCGCGAGCUUAACUCAAAAUCUAGCUCGUCGAAAUGCAAAUGGUCGACCCGCAUCAACCAAUAAGCUCUGUUGAGCUCUUCCACAAUCAUCGCCAUUCUCUCGAUUUUUCCGGAAAAGAACUCGAAAGCACAAAGCAUUCAGUAUCGACACGGAAUUUGAGCGGAAUUGAAAAAAUGUUUCGAAUCGGAUCGGAAUAUUUUAUGGUUGGCAACCACCUUGACUGGAAAAGACUCAAGCUUUCAACAACUCGUCUGGCAGUUCCACCAAAACCAAUGCAAAAUCACUGAUUCAGAAAACAGAAAUAAAUAAAUAUAUACAAUAAAUAUUUAAUAAAUAAUAUAAAUACCACUGAAAAAUAAAUAAACAAUA